UACGAAGGACCCGAGCGUUAUCCGGAUUCAUUGGGCUUAAAGGGUGCGUAGGCGGUCCUGUAAGUCAGUGGUGAAAGCCCUACGCUUAACGUAGGAACGGCCAUUGAUACUGCAGGUCUUGAGUACAGUUGAGGUUGGCGGAAUGUGUCAUGUAGCGGUGAAAUGCUUAGAUAUGACACAGAACACCGAUUGCGAAGGCAGCUAGCUAAACUGUAACUGACGCUGAGGCACGAAAGCGUGGGUAGCAAACAGG
rnacentral:rRNA from 1 species